rnacentral:tRNA from 1 species
UGAAACAUAAUUUAAAAUAAAAUACUUGACUUCCAAUCAAAAAAUGCAAAGACAUGCUGUUUCCA